rnacentral:rRNA from 1 species
UACGGGGGGGGUAAGCGUUGUUCGGAAUUACUGGGCGUAAAGGGCUCGUAGGCGGCCAACUAAGUCAGACGUGAAAUCCCUCAGCUAACUGGGGAACUGCGUCUGAUACUGGAUGGCUUGGAUUCGGGAGAGGAAUGCGGAAUUCCAGGUGUAGCGGUGAAAUGCGUAGAUAUCUGGAGGAACACCGGUGGCGAAGGCGGCAUUCUGGACCGAUAUUGACGCUGAGGAGCGAAAAGCCAGGGGAGCAAAGCGGGGAU